UUUUAAAAAUUUUAUUUAUUUUUAUGGUUUAAAGCUGGCAUAAUUAAUAGAAUAACUAGAUAAAUAAUAUAUGGCGUGCUAUGUGUACUUUAUAAUAGUGUACAUGAACUAAUUUUUUACCGUAAAAAUUGAUAAUUUUUUUAAUA
rnacentral:pre_miRNA from 1 species